ACUUAACAGUAUGCAAAAUUUUAAGAAAUUUGAAAAGGAAUUCAAUUAUUCCUUAUUGUUGUAUAGAAUUUUGUAUUUACAUAUUUAAAUUGAAAUUAACUUGCUAAUGAAAUUUCGAACCACAUAAAAGACUUUCUGAGUUCUACAAUGUGUUCAAAGUUAUUUUGUUCUAAAGUUACUGCAUUGAACUCUGAGAAAAUGAAGACUCUUUUCGCAGUAAUAUUUGCUGUCCUGGAUUUGUUCCUUCUAGGAGCUGCAGUUGCUCAAUCAGACGGAUGGCGUGUUGAGAGUCGAGCACAAGCAAGUACAUAUCCUAUGCAUCAUCCGGCAUUUGAUUUUCCACCCUGUUCACCGCAAUAAACCUGCGCUAAACCAAGAGGCAUCUUUUUUGCGAAAAUACAUUAAAAGGUUUUUAAAAACUUGCAAUUCUUUAUUUAAUUGAUCUCGCGGUUCUUUGCAAAUGUCUUUUGGAAAACCUUCAGAGAGAAAUGUUUGUCUAAUAAGAAGUGAACUUGCGACGUUGGAAAGACAUAUUAUAAAGAAAUAUAGUUUCAAAAGGUAAACCAAUUAUUUGCUUGAGUAAGUUAAAUACCUUUUUUAAUAGUCUAUUAGAAUUGAAAAUUGAGUGAAAAAAAGCAAUAAUGCCAAUGGCUGAUAUAAAAGCAGCAAUAUUUUCAGCAAUUCACAAGUGAAUUUUUCUCUACGUGGAAAGUUAAAAGGAGCUGAAUUUUCAGAAAAAUGAACUUAGUUUUCGCAUCGUCGUUUGUCCUGUUGGCUUUGCUAUUCUUUGGAGUUGAUUCAUCGGAAAGUUUGACUAAUUUCCGCGAGAGACGCCAAAAUCGCCAAGAUCCUCCUCCAUUUUAUAUACCUGAUGGAAAUUAAGGGAAUAAAUGUUAAUUAGAAAGGCAUACAAAAACUGUCAAUUUUAGGGACGAAUUGUAAAAAAAGAGACAAUUUCUCAAUGAAUUAAUUUUUCUUCUUUAUUUAGAAUAUUUGCUGUCAAUUUAUUGCCCCACAUCACGA